UACGUAGGCAGCAAGCGUUGUUCGGAGUUACUGGGCGUAAAGGGUGCGUAGGCGGUUGUUUAAGUUUGGUGUGAAAUCUCCCGGCUCAACUGGGAGGGUGCGCCGAAUACUGAAUGACUAGAGUGCGGGAGAGGAUAGUGGAAUUCCUGGUGUAGCGGUGAAAUGCGCAGAUAUCAGGAGGAACACCAAUUGCGAAGGCAGCUCGCUGGAACGUUACUGACGCUGAGACGCGAAAGCGUGGGGAGCAAACAGG
rnacentral:rRNA from 1 species